rnacentral:rRNA from 1 species
UACAUGGGGUGCAAACGUUGUUCGGAAUUAUUGGGCGUAAAGCGCGCGUAGGCGGUUACUCAAGUCGGAUGUGAAAGCCCUCGGCUUAACUGAGGAAGUGCACCCGAAACUGAGUAGCUAGAGUACUAAAGAGGGUCGCGGAAUUCCCGGUGUAGAGGUGAAAUUCGUAGAUAUCGGGAGGAACACCGGUGGCGAAGGCGGCGACCUGGGUAGAUACUGACGCUGAGGCGCGAAAGCGUGGGGAGCAAACAGG